rnacentral:rRNA from 1 species
UACGGGGGGGGCAAGCGUUGUUCGGAAUUACUGGGCGUAAAGGGUUCGUAGGUGGCCAACUAAGUCAGACGUGAAAUCCCUCAGCUCAACUGGGGAACUGCGUCCGAUACUGGUGGGCUCGAAUCCGGGAGAGGGAUGUGGAAUUCCAGGUGUAGCGGUGAAAUGCGUAGAUAUCUGGAGGAACACCGGUGGCGAAGGCGGCAUCCUGGACCGGUAUUGACGCUGAGGCGCGAAAGCUAGGGGAGCAAACGGG